CCGCAUCUGUGCAUGCAGCAUAUCAAUAAGCGGAGGAAAAGAAACUAACAAGGAUUCCCCUAGUAACGGCGAGUGAAGCGGGAAGAGCUCAAAUUUGAAAUCUUAAAGGGUUUCCCUUUACGAAUUGUAGUUUAAAGAAGUGUUUUCUGUUGAGGUUUUGGUAAAAGUUCUUUGGAAUAGGACAUCAUAGAGGGUGAGAAUCCCGUAUUUGACCUUUACUUUCAACUUUGUGAUACACUUUCAAAGAGUCGGAUUGUUUGGGAAUGCAGUCCAAAAUGGGUGGUAAAUUUCAUCUAAAGCUAAAUAUUGGCGAGAGACCGAUAGCGAACAAGUACCGUGAGGGAAAGAUGAAAAGAACUUUGAAAAGAGAGUUAAACAGUACGUGAAAUUGUCAAAAGGGAAGCGUUUGACACCAGUGUUGUUUUUCUGAAAAUCAAUUAAAGAACUGUUUAUGCUAAGUUGUUUAGACUUUAUCAGCUAACUGUUUAGUUUUGAGCUUUUCUUUAAUGCACUUUUCAGUUAACAAGUCAACAUCAAUUUCUUUUGCUGUAAAAAAGCUUGAGGAAGGUGGCUUGAGAUUCGUCUUAAGUGUUUAUAGCCUCUUGCCUAUGCAGUCGGAGAGAUUGAGGUCUGCAGCGUAGAUCCCUCGGGGCUAAAUGCAUUUGUGCUAAGUUAUAGCAUUUCAUAGACAACUUGUUGACUAUGAUUCGUCUUGUAGCUUACUCGCUUAUGUUAUUUUACCUACGCUUAGGAUGUUGACAGCAGUAUAGACUGU
rnacentral:rRNA from 1 species